ACGGAAUAGAUACCCGGGUAGUCCCAGCUGUAAACGAUGCAGGCUAGGUGUUUGGACGGCCACGUGCCGUUCUAGUGCCGCAGGGAAGCUGUUAAGCCUGCCGCCUGGGGAGCACGAUCGCAAGAUUGAAACUUAAAGGAAUUGGCGGGGAGCACCACAAGGGGUGAAGCUUGCGGUUUAAUUGGAGUCAACGCCGGAAAUCUCACCGGGAGCGACAGCAGUGUGAAAGCCAGAUUAAAGGUCUUGCUAGACGAGCUGAGAGGAGGUGCAUGGCCGUCGCCAGUUCGUGCCGUGAGGUGUCCUGUUAAGUCAGGCAACGAUCGAGACCCGCAUCCUCUGUUGCAACCAGCUUUGUGCUGGGCACACUGAGGAGACCGCCACUGAUAAAGUGGAGGAAGGAGCGGGCCACGGCAGGUCAGUAUGCCCCGAAUCUCCCGGGCCACACGCGAGCUGCAAUGGCAGGUACAAUGGGUUCCGACCUCGAAAGGGGAAGGCAAUCUCGAAAGCCUGCCGUAGUUGGGAUC
rnacentral:rRNA from 1 species